CCGGCCGCCGCAGCCGCCUCCGCAACACCCUUUGACGAUGCACCGGUCGUGAACGUAAUAUAUAAUAAUGUGUACCGGCGGUAAUAGCAGCGUGUAACACCUCACCCCCCGACCACGGGUUCAACGUUCAACCCUUUGGCCGUGUACGCACUCGCCGCUCAAACAUUAUUAUAAUAUUGCGUACGACCUGCGUACAUAAUAUAAUAUUAUAUGGUUAUCGUUAUUUAUUGUUACGACGUCCGGGGACCUAUAGCCUGCACGGUGUUCACGCCUAGUUAGGUAGUGCAGUACCCGCAGCAGCAGCAGUCGAACUACGGAUUGGGUAUCAAGAAAUUGAUUUAAUAAACACGUCCGUGUCACCUUCCCUCCCGACCCUACAUCAACGAAGGUUAUUUAUCAAUUGAAUAUGUGGCUGGACGAGGGAGAUUAAUACAUUCCUUCAAAAAACGUUACUUGGGCUUUGUCGUUUCUAUCGGACGAAAUAAUUACUAACACGCAAUUCAAAAUUUUUUUAUUCGUCUUAUAUGUUGGUGAAUUCAAUACGAAUACUGAAUACGUCCAAUAAAUAGGACCGUUGAAAGCACCGAGCCGUUGUCAUGUUUCAUAUACAUCGGCAAUAACAAUGGAUUCAUCAUCGAUUCUAUAUACACAUUCUGAGGUACCUGCUUCAAACAUUAUAAAAAUCUGUGUGCCAUAUGAAGGGAAGCCCUACUUCUGGGAACUGCAAGCCAACUAUGUGUUCACUUCUUGUCAACGUCUAUGUAAAAAGUACCCUCUGACCACUGCCUGUAAAAUCAAAGUGAAUUAUAAUUUGGAUAAACAAAGAUAUAUAUACGUAAACAUAAUUAUAUAUCGAAGCAUUAUUAUAUUAUAUUUUACGCAAAUGUUAUAAAAUAAAUUACAAGUCAGAUCGUUAAGAUUUUACGGGGAGAUCAAAUAUGUGAGUUAGGAAAAGGUCGAGAGAUCUUAUACGGUUCUUAAUAAGAACUCCCCAUUUCUUUUAAUCGUGUAUAUUUCUUAUCACACCUCGAAUGUGUUUAAUUUUUCACACACACUAAAUGCAUUGAUUUUGUAUCUGAUUUAAUUUUUAUCUAAACACAUAGAAUACAAUUAACUACUAAGUUAAAAAAAAUUACAAAAAAAAAAAAUAAAACAUAAUUUACAUAGGUAUAUGUAUAAUAUAUUAUGAUUAAAAAAAAACAUUAUAAUGAAAAUAAUGUUAAAUUUAAAUAUUCUCGUGUAUUUAUAAGUCUAAAGAGUAGUAAAGACAAUAACUUAAUUGAGUAUCACCACGAAGAUUACACGCAAUUAUAUUAAUCAUAUUUGUGUAAAUAGGUAGACAAGAUAAAACGUAUGCAAAUAGAAUACUCAUAUAUUGUUUA